rnacentral:tRNA from 1 species
UACUUGAAAGCGAAAUUGUAUUGCGCUAAGUUUCGGCCUUAGUUUUGAGAACCUCUCUCAAGUAU